AGUGAACGCUGGCGGUAGGCCUAACACAUGCAAGUCGAACGGCAGCACAGUAAGAGCUUGCUCUUACGGGUGGCGAGUGGCGGACGGGUGAGGAAUACAUCGGAAUCUACUUUUUCGUGGGGGAUAACGUAGGGAAACUUACGCUAAUACCGCAUACGACCUACGGGUGAAAGCAGGGGAUCUUCGGACCUUGCGCGGUUGAAUGAGCCGAUGUCGGAUUAGCUGGUUGGCGGGGUAAAGGCCCACCAAGGCGACGGUCGGUAGCUGGUCUGAGAGGAUGAUCAGCCACACUGGAACUGAGAGACGGUCCAGACUCCUACGGGAGGCAGCGGUGGGGAAUAUUGGACAAUGGGCGCAAGCCUGAUCCAGCCAUACAGCGUGGGUGAAGAAGGCCUUCGGGUUGUAAAGCCCUUUUGUUGGGAAAGAAAAGCAGCAGGUUAAUACCCCGCUGUUCUGACGGUACCCAAAGAAUAAGCACCGGCUAACUUCGU
rnacentral:rRNA from 1 species